UUUUUUAUUUUUUUUAUUUUUUUUAUUUUUAUAAAUCAUUGUUGUUUAAGUUGUCUGUUGAAAUAUAUGAGAUUUUUGUUGGGCACAUUUUACAUAUACCACUAAAUUUGUAGAGAAUAAAUGCAUAUGUCCUACAUGCACACACACAUAGAGAGCCGUGGAACAUGAAUUGUGUUUUUAGAAAGAAGAACCAUAUAAUUAAUAAACAUAUUGGGCGAAGACCAUUUUCACUCACCACAAACUGUAAUAAUAGAUCGAGAUGAAAAAAACAUCAGCUCUUCUAUCUUGGAGUUUAGAACAUGAAUUCUGGCAUAUUUGGUAUCACAUCUAAACUCAGUAAAGCUACCAGUAGAACAAUGUUGAAAGACAUUAUCAUUUUUAGAAGAGUUGAUGUUUUUUACUUUGUUGGUUAUCAAAAGUUGCAUUGUUGUUCUCUACUUUAAUUUGUUGAUGAUUUUAGUGAUGUAGUUCCAAUAAAAUGCAAUCUUUGUUCCCUUGUAUAACCAAGUAGCUCCCCAUAUUAAUUUGUCUUAUGUCGAACCAGUUUAUUUAGGAUUCAUUUGUUAGAGAGAAUUUGAAAACAAAUGAUUCAAUGAGUUUUGUUCUUAUGUUUAGCUUUCCUCCCACUAUUAAUCAUUUUAGUAAAGGUGUUACAAUGUAUGUUCAAGAGUGCAAGCAGUUUAAUUUAGUACAAGCUUCUUAUGAACUUGUGAACCCCUAUCACAUGUUUAUUUAGCAUGCCCUUUUACAUGUUUAUUUAGCAUGCCCUUUUACAUGUUUAUUGCUAUGGUAAGGCUCUUAUGAACUUGUCAACUCCUCUCUUAUGAAUUUGUCAACCCCUCACUAGCAAUCUCAUUUUAGUAAAGGUGUUACAAUAUAUGUUCAUUGGGCUUUAAUGUUUUAUCUCGCACCUACCAAAAUUUCAGUAGGAGUUUCAAACCCUUCCUAAAUCGUUUAGAAUGGUUUUAUGCAUGUUUAGCAAGUUUACUAGGUUUAGCAAUUCAUUAGAAUGUUUUAAUAUUUUAUCUCGCACGUACCUCACACGUAUCAAAAUUUCAAUAGGAGUUUCAAAAUGAGAUUGUUACCCUUCUUAAAUCGUUUAGAAUUUUCCUAUGUAUGUUUAGCAAGUUUAUUGGGCCAUAAUGUUUUAUCUCGCACCUAUCUUGCACGUAUCUCCCACCUACCAAAAUUUCAGCAGGAGCUUCAGAAUGAGAUUUGCUACCCUUCCUAAAUCGUUUAGAAUGGUUCGAUGUAUGUUUAGCAAGUUUAUUAGACUUAACAAGUUUAAUGCCAAUGUUUUAUCUCACAUGUAUCUGAAUUUUAGUAUGAGUUUCAAAAUGAGAUUGCUACCCUUCCUAAACCAUUUAGAAUGGUCCUAUGCAUGUUUAGCUAGUUUAUUGGGCUUUAAGGGUUUAGAGUUAGCAAGUUUAUUAGCCUUUAAUGUUUUAUCUCGUACGUACCAAAAUUUUAGUACGAGUUUCAAAAUGAGACUGCUACAAUUCCUAAACUGUUUAGAAUAGUCAUAUGCAUGUUUAGCUAGUUUAUUGGGCUUUAAGGGUUUAGGGUUAGCAAGUUUAUUAGACUUAGCAAGUUUAUUAGCCUUUAAUAUUUCUACCCUUCCUAAAUUGUUUAGAAUGGUCCUAUGCAUUUAGCUAGUUUAUUGGGCUUUAAUGUUUUAUCUCGCACUUAUCCAAAUUUCAAUGUAUACAUGUUUAGUAAGUCUCUUAUGCAAUGAUAUUUUAUUUGUUUCUUUUUUGUCCAGGCUUCAAUAUGACUUUGACAUCAACUGACGGACCCAUGUACAAGAUUGAUCAUUCUCACAAUUUUCAUGCUUUAGAUUGCAGAUGAUUGGAACACAUUUAACAAUUAUGAUUGAGGAGGCUUGGUUUUUGGACGCACGUUUUGUGCCUUAAAACGAGCCUUGGACAUGCAACAUGCCAAGGGAAAGAAGAAGUCAACUAAGACAAAAUGUACUAUCAUGAGAUUUUUCGCAUGCGUUACAGGUUUGGGCAUAUGAGUCUAUACCAACCAUCACUGAGUGUGGUGUACAUAAAGUAAACAAUGAUUUCAUACCACGAAUGCUAAGGUUGGUGUGUGAACUAUCUCCGAAGUCUCAUGCCCUAGAGCCAGGUGUUUGACUCGCCAAUGUUCAUAAUUAAGACGGUAAUUGAGAUGACGCCUGAAGAGAAGAAACAUUUAAGAAUAUCUUCAGGUGAACUUUUUGACAAACCACAUCCAUCUAACAUCGUUCCUGGAAAGAAUGGUGGUUCAAAACGAGCAAGAGAAGUUAGUAAUGAUGAAGAUGACUGUAAAAAGAGUAAGAAAAAGAAGUGAAAGUCUAAGAUGAAAGAGGUUGUUCGGAAACUCAAAGAUUGAGUAGCGGUUCUUGAGAAUGAACGUGGAAGCCUAAAAUCAAAUGUUGAAGAAUUGAAUGUCAUGGUGUCGACUAUAUUGAAACUCAUUGAACUUGAAAGAAAUGUUAAGAAGUAAAGUUGUUGUUUAACAUUUCCAAAGUUAUCCUUACUAAUAUAUUUUGACAUUUUCAAAGGGUGAAGGAGGCUGCACGGGGUUUGAAGGCCAUAAUGCCCAAACCCAAGAUGUUGACACACCCGGUACUCCUUCUUGGUUGAGGGUGCCAAAGGAGGAUGACACAAAUAAUGGAGUGAAACACGUUGAACUUCAAAAAAAAGGGUGUCGAAGGAGACAACAAGGAGGAUGACACAAUCGACGUGUUGAAGAAGAAGGUUCAUAUUGGUUUGGAGGAGCCAAUAGACAUCGUUGACGAUGAGGUUGAAAUUGAGGAAAUUGAAGAAAAAAAUUCUUACCCAUUUUGAUUCAGAGGUCACGGAAAUAGAACUCUUUUCCACUCAAUGACCACAAGUUUGGCCCGCACGUAGGAAGCGUGCAAUUGUUUACUUGUCAACCCCCUUCACAUCUCUAAUUAAACAGUCUACGAAAUCAACCACCAUCACCUCUCAGUCUCAACCAUCCGUUUAUGAUCCUAUGCACAAAAUACUUGACGUUGAUUUAGAUCGACUCAAAGCUUGGAUUACAGACAAGCGUACAAGAGGUGAAGUGCAUGAAACUUUUCACGGCACAAAAUCGAAGGAAUAUUUCAUAGACUUCUUCAUGUGUUGUCGGUGGUUGGCGGAUGAGCAUUUGGAUGCACUCUUUUUUCUCAUUCGCUUCAAGAUUAGGACAACAAUGAUACCUUCUGCUCAAAACUUCACAACUGUAGACACACUCUUCAUGUGAUCAUUAGUUGCGAAAUGGCCAGAAUACCAAGAAUGUAUUAAAGAGAAUUGACCGUUUGACUGGAAGGAGGAGUAUCAGUUGGUUGACUAUGUUGUCGGAUCAAAACAAGGCUUUCAAGAUCCUUGGACAAGUGUUGAUUACAUUUACUCUCCAUUCAAUAUUUAUGUCAAUCAUUGGGUUCUAUUAUGCUUGGACUUGGUAAGUUGUCAAGUCAAGGUAUGAGAUUCGCUUCUGUCGCUUAUGAGUGUCGAAGAGAUGAGAAGCAUAUUAAUGCUGAUUCAAGAGAUGGUGCCAAAUUUGCUAGAAUACUACUGGAUUCUUUGCUAGAUACUACUGGAUUCUUUGCUAGGAGAGGUGGAUCGUAAACAUACAAGGAACCUUGGCCACUUGUCAUUGUUGACUCCAUUCCACAACGCAACAAUAGUGAUUGUGGUGUAUUCACCAUUAAGUAUUUCGAAUACGAAACUUUUGGUUUAGAUGUAGCUACAUUAUGUCAAGAAAAGAUGUCCUACUUUAGAAAACAAUUGACAUUUCAAUUAUGGACCAACACUCCUAUGUAUUGACUUUUAGUAACAAAAUUUGAAGGAAUUGUAUAUCAUAUAUGUUGCGAACUAUGUACAUAAAUCAAUUGAUGUAAUGGAAUGAGCACCAUUGUUAUUUUA